UGCUGCUUCUCGCCUUCAGCGCCAACACCUCGACUUCGCGCCUCAGCACGAAGCAAUCCUCGCCGUUGAUUGCCUUCUCCCCGAUGCAGAUAGCGUUGGAGAACAGAUUCGCCGUCAGCCGCGGAUCAAGCCCCUGUUGGAUCGCCGGAGGGGACGAGGGGGGCCGCGGGAGGCGUGGGAGUUUUGCCAGGGGGUCUGCCGCCACGCAACCUUUCCGUUGCUUCCGGCGCUUAUUUUGCAGCCGGAGAGGAUCAUUUCUAGGCUCCAUAAAUCAGGCCUUUGCUGCCACAGAACGAAUCCGCCGACGUGUCCGGCGCCGGACUUCAUAUUCUUUGUCUUCGCCGCCCUCGAAUUCUUGACACCAUUGUCGGCUCCUCCCACGAAUUCAGAUGCCGCCAUUCUCACCUUCCCCAUUACAUACAUACUGUCGAUGGAAUCGAGGGCGUGUUCUCCGCCGGCUGCUGCGAUGUACUGCUGCACUAUGUAUUUAGCCAUGGCGCUCUCCUGCAAGUGCACCGGAAAUUGUACGAUCGGCUUUAAUUGGUGACGGAAUCAGCGGAGCCCCGACGACUCCCAGCAGGAGCUGGACCUCUGCCAUAGCAGCGGCGGCGCCGCUUCUCUCCACCACCUGUGGCGACGCCGCCAUCCAGGCCUUCAGAUUCUGCCACGAUUUAUUACUUCCCUUGUCCGAGACAAACAUUUCCUCCGGGAUCGGAACCUCCAGCACCGUCUCCAGCGCGUCUUCCCUGUCCACAUUCCGACACAAUGUCCUCAUCGGAAAACCAGGUUUGAUUUCUUCUUUUCUUUUUCGCUAAAAGUUUUGAUGUAGGAAUUAACAAGUGGAGAGAAUCCAGAUGCAAUCUUGGCCCUGGAUUUAUACAUACAUUCGAUCGAGGAGAUUAAUGUAACAGUGAUGAAAAAGACGACGACCAUGGGCCGCCACCAACGUGGGAGACUUUGUCUGUGUCGUCGUGAAGGCACGCUGCUCUGUCAAUGGCGGAUACCGACAAUCAUGGCGUUUGUCUUCGAGGGGACAAAGGGAUCGAAUUUUAUGCCCAAUGUUUUUCCGGUACAUCACUUCUAUCAAGCAAAGCUGCGGCGGCGACCGACAUCUUAACCUGGUCUGUUCAGAUGCUGCCACGUGUCCCAGAUUGACGGCUGAACUAACGCCCCUCAAUCAUGCCAUGCACGUUCGCCUUGCUUGCUGAUGUGGGGGACGUACUCGCCAAGGAAGCCGGACGGAAGAAGGCAUCAGACGCGCAGGAAGUAGCCUGGAACUUUGUUGUUUCUAUUGGAGGAAUGGAGGAGGAAUCCACCAAGGAUGGAAUAACAAAGGAUGUAUCAAACGAGAACGGAGAAUCGAAGGAUGUAACUGCGUUGGUCGGAGGAACGAAGGAUGUAUCCAAAGAGAACGGAGAAUCGAAGGAUGUAACUGCCUUGGUCGGAGGAACGAAGGCUGUAUCCUCCGAGAACGGAGUAUUGAAGGACGUAGCUUCCCCUGCCUGGCUGCCUUGGUCGGAGGAACGAAGAGCGGAGGAUUGAAGAAUGUAUCAACUGCGGACGGAAAAGAGGAGGACGAAUCAACCCUGCACGGCUUUGAGCGAGAGGAAAAUGUAUAAAAUCAAGCUCGGGGGAACAGUUAGACCUCACCAGCGCCACUUCUUCCUUUGCCACAGGACUUAUGAAACCUGGCCAGUAUGGUUCAAUCAGAAGUCGGCCGAUCUGCUCCCUCAGCUGUUUACCAAUGAGCACCAAAUGGCCCUGAGAAAGGCUCCUAUAGAGAACCGCCUGGCUAUAUGCCAGAGAAAUAAACAUGCGAGGAUCUACGAUGGAGAUGUCCUCAUAUUUCCUGACAUGCACGUAUACAGGCGGCUGAAACCCUCACAAAUCAGAGGAUUUGUAGAUGAAGUGAUGAUUAGGGGCAAGAGAUGGUCAUCGGGGGAGUUGGAAGAGUUGACUGGUUCAUACAUCUUUAUAUGUACUCGUAAACUUCGAGAUAGAAGAUUUGGUGCUUGCGGCCCAGCAUUGAUAAAAAAGCUCAACGAAGUGAUUAAAGCCAAGGAUUUGAAGCGUAGGGUGUUUGUGAUUGGGUGUUCACACACAGGAGGAAACAAGAAUGCAGGCAAUGUGAUUAUUUUCAGUCCUAAUUCUCAGGGAAAAGAUUGCUGGCAAUUGGUGAGACCAAGAUUUUUAUUUUUAAGGAUUCAUGUUAGGUGUUAUUCUGCAAGGAGAUCAUAGAUGAUUAAUUCUUUCUCUAAUUACUACGCAAGUAUGGAUACGUCAACACAUAAGGAUGUUGUUGAAUUAGUCGAGGAACAUAUCUUAAAGGGUGAAAUCGUCGAUAGGCUUUGGAGGGGCCAAGUGGACACUAGUCCCGGAAAAUCUGAUGACUCAGGUAAGGCCUUGUUUGAUAGCCACAACCUAUGAAAAAGAGAUGCCUCCGGAAUUGCGGUUAUUAUGUCGGGCAUUGCUUCAGCUGCAGCUGCUACUAUUGCUACUUUUGGCAUCUACCGAAGAAGAAGAAGAAGAAGAAGAUAAGCUCAUGGGACUCCUGACGACAAUCUCUAAAAUUGUGGUGCGAAUAGAUCAUUCCCUCAACCCCUCACCAAUGCCAAAACAAGAAUUCGCCAUUCUUGCAAAAGCAUAUCAGCCAGUGACGACAACGCAGACAUUGCACGUGGGAAUAAAACCAUCCCGGGGAGGCGACAACGACCAAAAGGGGCUGCUGUCCUUCAAAGGCAAUAUCAGCUAAAGCCGCAAAAUAUGCUCUGUCUGCACGCACAUGUAGUCAAUCAUUUCUUGCCCGGUCCCGGACAAAAACAACCACAUACAUGAAAUGAUGCUGACAAAAGAUGUCUGACUCAAUCGGGGCGAAGGAAAAAGAAAAAGUGAUACUGUGAAGCACACUAAGCAGAAGCAGCAAAGCUGCAGGCCAGAUAAGUAUUUUUUUUUAUGAUUUAUUUAUUUUUUAUGGAAUUUGUAACAAGAAAACUAGGUCCCACAAAGCACUAUGUAAGAAGGAAAAGGGAUAGUGAGAUAGUUAGUGGAUGGAUCAUCAAAAUCAAAUUCAAGAUCCAUGCAAUCUUGUGAAUUUAUCCAUGCAAUGUUUUGACGAGAGAGCGACACAUGAGCAUGUUAAGAGGGAUUUAUUUAUUUAUUUUUAAAUAAAAAUGUUUUGUGGGCAAUUAUGCUUAAUCAUUGUUUCUUAAUGACCAUAUUUUAAUUGCUCUUUGCUCAUUUUUUAGGUAGAGGGUUUAUGUUUUUGACUAUUUGCCCACAAAUAAAGAAUGUGCAUUUCAUCAUGAGAAUUCAAACACACUUUGAGGUGUGUUUUGAAAUUUGGUUUUGUAUUGAAAUCGAAACUCUAAACAAAUAAAGGACGUCUUUCGUUUUUUUUU